UACAGAGGGUGCGAGCGCUGUUCGGAAUCACUGGGCGUAAAGGGCGCGUAGGCGGCCGCUCAAGUCGGGGGUGAAAGCCUGUGGCUUAACCACAGAAUUGCCUUCGAUACUGUUUGGCUUGAGACCGGAAGAGGUGAGUGGAACUGCGAGUGUAGAGGUGAAAUUCGUAGAUAUUCGCAAGAACACCAGUGGCGAAGGCGGCUCACUGGUCCGGUUCUGACGCUGAGGCGCGAAAGCGUGGGGAGCAAACAGG
rnacentral:rRNA from 1 species